GGAAGGUCGUCCUUGCAACAAAUAUUGCUGAAACAUCUUUAACAAUUGAUGGGAUCAAGUAUGUCAUUGAUCCUGGCUUUUGCAAGAUGAAAUCAUAUAACCCUAGGACAGGGAUGGAGUCAUUGCUUGUAACACCUAUUUCAAAAGCUUCUGCAGCGUGCUGGUCGUUCUGGACGAACAGGUCCAGGAAAGUGUUUCCGGUUGUACACGGCCUAUAACUACAAUCAUGACUUGGAUGAUAAUACUGUACCAGAAAUACAAAGGACAAAUCUUGCUAAUGUUGUGCUCUCUUUGAAGAGUCUUGGAAUUCAUGACUUACUAAAUUUUGAUUUUAUGGACCCUCCACCUUCUGAGGCAUUACUAAAAGCCCUGGAACUCCUGUUUGCACUGAGUGCACUAAAUAAACAUGGUGAGCUGACUAAAGUUGGUCGAAGGAUGGCUGAGUUCCCACUUGAUCCUAUGCUAUCCAAAAUGAUCGUUGCUUCUGAUAAGUAUAAGUGUUCAGACGAGAUAAUCUCUAUUGCUGCUAUGCUUUCUGUUGGAAAUUCAAUAUUCUAUCGUCCAAAGGACAAACAAGUUCAUGCGGACAAUGCCAGAAUGAAUUUCCACACAGGAAAUGUGGGAGACCAUAUAUCUUCUCAAGGUGUAUAAUUCUUGGAAGGAAACUAAUUAUUCUACACAAUGGUGUUAUGAAAAUUAUAUUCAGGUCAGGAGUAUGAAACGAGCUAGAGAUAUACGAGACCAGUUGGAGGGCCUUUUGGAAAGGGUUGAAAUUGACCUAUCAUCCAAUCUCAAUGAUUUAGAUGCCAUAAAGAAAUCCAUAACAUCUGGUUUUUUCCCUCAUUCUGCAAGGCUGCAGAAGAACGGAUCAUACAGAACAGUGAAACAUCCUCAGACAGUUCACAUACACCCCAGCUCAGGGUUGGCACAGGUGCUCCCAAGAUGGGUCAUAUACCAUGAGUUGGUUCUUACAACCAAGGAGUACAUGAGGCAGGUAACUGAGCUGAAGCCAGAGUGGCUGGUAGAAAUUGCUCCCCACUAUUACCAGCUGAAGGAUGUUGAAGAUCCGGGGUCAAAGAAAAUGCCAAGAGGCGAAGGACGUGCAUCAUAGCUGGGUUGUACAGACAAUGAUGGGGGCGUGGUCAGUCUUGCGGGAUGAGAAGUCUAAAUACAAAUUUUGUAAAUUUUGGUAGCAAGUAGGUAUUAACAAUUUCACUCUCCAUACUUGUUUGUAUAUUUAUAAUCUGGCUUGUUGAGGAAGUUGUUUGUAACUAAACUUUAAAAGAAGC
rnacentral:misc_RNA from 1 species